UACGAAGGGGGCUAGCGUUGUUCGGAAUCACUGGGCGUAAAGCGCAGGUAGGCGGAUUGUUAAGUCAGGGGUGAAAUCCCGAGGCUCAACCUCGUAACUGCCUUUGAUACUGGCGAUCUAGAGUCCGGGAGAGGUGAGUGGAACUGCGAGUGUAGAGGUGAAAUUCGUAGAUAUUCGCAGGAACACCAGUGGCGAAGGCGGCUCACUGGUCCGGAACUGACACUGAGGUGCGAAAGCGUGGGGAGCAAACAUU
rnacentral:rRNA from 1 species